rnacentral:misc_RNA from 1 species
AAAAUAAAAUAAACCUCUACUCUCUAAUCAAUAACAACUCAAUAUUCAAAAAUAAAAGAAAAUAAUAAUAAAAAAAAGUAAUCAAAUUCACAGACCUACAUAAUUACGAUUCAGGACAUGAGAAUCGAACAAAUUACAGUGGCAGAAACAGUGAACAACGCAGGGGCGGUCACGGGAAUAGCCGCGUUGUCCGCUGUGCUAUUCUCCGAUCCUACUGGCGCAUCUGAAGGAGCUCCUUGCGGGGUUUCCGACGGCGGUGCUGGUGGAGAAGGGGCCAGUGGUGAUGGGGCCUCAACACUAGCAGGAGCUGGACUUGGUGUUGUAGCCGGAGAAGGAGAAGGCGCGCUCACCGGUUCAAGGGCUGGCGCAGGAGAUGGAGACUUUCCGAACAACUCUGCAGGGAGAAGUACAUUAUCAACAGUGAAAAUCAUCAAUGGCGUGGAGUCGAGAACAGUGUCGGCAACUCUCGAUGAGUCAACCCCUGUGUGGAGAGUUACGGAGUCACCAGCUGCAGUCACUGUCAGAUCGAACUUCCCUGCGCCAUUACUGGCCAAUGUUGUGAUUGGAUCUUUUUGGGUCUUCAAGGAACCGAAAGGACUGUAUCCAGCGGCGGCAUGAUACUGUAAGAGCGAAACAAUCUCAGCAUUUGUGAGCUUGCUCAGAUCGGGGACUCCUUUGGCCUUAAAGGCUUCAUCGUUCGGUGCAAAAAUGGUCAAACCUUUAUCAGCCGCUGCCUGAUACGUCUUAAUCACACCGCUCGACUGAAGCAAACUAGCGAAUGUUUUGCAUCCAGCCUUCUCAAGCAAAGCUGUAAUGUUCACAUCGGAAGGUGUCGGGGCCGGAGCCGUUAGGAUUCCGGGAGCAAUAAUCGGCGCGCUGAUCUCGAGGACGGAGAUAUUGUAAGGGAUUUGUUUGACAGACUUGGUGUAAGAGGCGUCGAGCUUGGAGCCAGGGGCAGCGGAGCCAAACCCCACUUUACCUCCCUGCAGGUCAGUGAUGUUGACAAAGCCUAAAUUGCCAGGGGCAUUUCCUGUAGUUUGGUAAAGGGUGGUGGACAGGGUACUGCCAUUAGAGAUCUGGUGGAGUUUUGUGGGAUCAUAGUAAUCGAGCACAACAAGAAGGCUAAGAGCGUUUUUAAUAACGGAUAAGGGAUGUUUGCCAGCAAGGGCGGACAUAGCCGCAUUGUUGAGGGCGAGUACGGUGAUAGUCUCCCGGCUGUUGAUUUCAUCAGCAAGCUUUGUUUGGGUGAGAUAUUUGUUGAACUCGGAGUAGUCAGGCAGGCCAGAGAGAAUGUCGGUGAUGUUAUGGGCUAAUGUGGUGGUGGAGAGUGCAGAAAGGGUAAGAAAGAGGAAGAGGUAAUGUAACGCUCCCAUGGCAGAUUUAGGGUGUUAACCGAUAUUGGUUUC